UUGGGAAUAUUGGACAAUGGACGAAAGUCUGAUCCAGUGACGCCGCGUGAAGGAAGAAGGUCUUCGGAUUGUAAACUUAUUUUGUCAGGGAAGAAAUAAAUGACAGUACCUGAAGAAGAAGGACCGGCAAACUACGUG
rnacentral:rRNA from 1 species